rnacentral:rRNA from 1 species
GACGAACGCUGGCGGCGUGCUUAACACAUGCAAGUCGAACGGAGUGGCGAACGGGUGAGUAACACGUGGGUGACCUGCCCUGCACUUCGGGAUAAGCCUGGGAAACUGGGUCUAAUACCGGAUAGUUUGGGAUGGGCCCUGGGCCUAUCAGCUUGUUGGUGGGGUAAUGGCCUACCAAGGCGGCGACGGGUAGCCGGCCUGAGAGGGGGGACGGCCACAAAGGUACUGCGACACGACCCAGACUCCUACGGGAGGCAGCAGUGGGGAAUAUUACUCAAUGGGCGGAAGCCUGAUACAGCGGCGCCGCGUGGGAGAUGACGGCCUUCGGGUUGUAAACUCCUUUCACCAUCGACGCGGUAGAUGGAGAAGAAGCACCGGCUAACUACGUGCCAGCAGCCGCGGUAAUUC